GAUGAAGAACGUAGCGAAAUGCGAUACGUAGUGUGAAUUGCAGAAUUCAGUGAAUCAUCGAAUCUUUGAACGCACAUUGCACCUCUCGGUGUUCCGGGAGGUAUGCCUGUCCGAGCGUCAUUUGUACCCUCAAGCUCUGCUUGGUGUUGGGUGUUUGUUCCGCCUCUGUGUGUGAACUCGCCUCAAAACAAUUGGCAGCCGGCGUACUUGUUUCGGAGCGCAGCACAUUUUGCGAUCCAGAUCAACGUACAGCGGCAUCCAAGAAGCCUUAUUUAACGCUCUUGACCUCGGAUCAGGUAGGGAUACCCGCUGAACUUAAGCAUAUCAAUAAGCGGAGGA
rnacentral:misc_RNA from 1 species